UUCCUGCCUGAUUGCUCAAAAUUGUUCACAUGUAGGGAAAACAGUGAAAUUGAUGCCUGUUAUCUACAUUGGUAUUUAGUAAUGAUAAUUGUGCAGGUUGUGAGCUUUUAACUAACCUCAUUUCCAUGCAUAUCGACAAGUGUUUUCAGCUCCGCACGCCUCAGCAGAGCAGAGUGCCCCUUCCCAAGCAGCAAGUCCAAAAGCUUGUGCUUUGAUGAGGACUUCGAGAUCAACUAGGCUGAGAGACAUCAGUCCUAGAGUAAGGCCAGACAUGAGUCCUGCGAAACAAACAAGCGCGAUGCAUAUCACUAGAUACACCCAAAACAUCGUUUCACAACAUGGGACAUCGUUUGCUGCCAUUGCAAUCUAAACAGAGUUUCUUGCAACCGCUCCAUGUGUUAUCUCGGCCGGUAAGGCAUUUGCAAGAAUAGAUGACAUCUCGAUAAUGAGUACGCCACUUGACCAACUAGGCCACCCUGAAGUACUUUUGCUAUCCUGAGUUUCAAGGCUCUUGCGGAUGCUGGAUUUAAGGAGGCAACCCUUUCUCCCUUCAUGAGUUCAAAGGCAGGUACCAAGAAAAGCACCAGAGGUAUAAUAGUAGUACUAGUAACUAAAUGUUAAAUGCCAUAGUUAUUCUUGGAUGCAAUAUAUUAUAGAGCCAUGCACAGUUCAGUUUAAAAAAGUACUAGCAUAACACAAACUGGGAUAUUAGGUAAGUGGAAAUGUGGCUGAAUGACGAAACAAAAGGGAUGUAGUAGGUAUUCUAUGUUUUUCUCUUGAUUUAGGUAUUAAGAUAUUAUUAUGCACUUUACGCGCAGAAAACGCGGAGUACAGGUCACUUGGCUAAUUAAUCUUGGAGUAAUAUAGUAUAGUACAUUUUUGUGUUUAUGAACGAGGGAAGGUUAUUGUUUUUUAAUUAAUAGGCUGGGGUUGAUUUACUGCGACCACGACAAUAAUGAGAAACGAUUAUUGGUCAUCAACCUAUUAGUUUGAGUAUUAUAUAUUUCCUGAAAUAA